rnacentral:rRNA from 2 species
AAAUUGAAGAGUUUGAUCAUGGCUCAGAUUGAACGCUGGCGGCAGGCCUAACACAUGCAAGUCGAGCGGAAACGAGUUAUCUGAACCUUC